AGUGGACGCUGGCGGUAGGCCUAACACAUGCAAGUCGAACGACAGCACAGUAAGAGCUUGCUCUUACGGGUGGCGAGUGGCGGACGGGUGAGGAAUACAUCGGAAUCUACUUUUUCGUGGGGGAUAACGUAGGGAAACUUACGCUAAUACCGCAUACGACCUACGGGUGAAAGCAGGGGAUCUUCGGACCUUGCGCGAUUGAAUGAGCCGAUGUCGGAUUAGCUAGUUGGCGGGGUAAAGGCCCACCAAGGCGACGAUCCGUAGCUGGUCUGAGAGGAUGAUCAGCCACACUGGAACUGAGACACGGUCCAGACUCCUACGGGAGGCAGCAGUGGGGAAUAUUGGACAAUGGGCGAAAGCCUGAUCCAGCCAUACCGCGUGGGUGAAGAAGGCCUUCGGGUUGUAAAGCCCUUUUGUUGGGAAAGAAAAGCAGCAGGUUAAUACCCCGCUGUUCUGACGGUACCCAAAGAAUAAGCACCGGCUAACUUCGUG
rnacentral:rRNA from 1 species